rnacentral:rRNA from 1 species
CCUACGGGUGGCAGCAGUGAGGAAUAUUGGUCAAUGGGCGCGAGCCUGAACCAGCCAAGUCGCGUGAAGGAUGACUGCCCUACGGGUUGUAACCUUCUUUUAUCAGGGAAUAAAGUGAGGCACGUGUGCCUUUUUGUAUGUACUUUAUGAAUAAGGAUCGGCUAACUCCGUGCCAGCAGCCGCGGUAAUACGGGGGAUCCGAGCGUUAUCCGGAUUUAUUGGGUUUAAAGGGGGGUUAGAUGGGUGGUUAAGUAAGUUGUGAAAGUUUGUGGCUCAACCGGAGAAGUGCAAUUGAUACUGGCAGGCUUGAGUACAGUUGAGGUAGGCGGAAUGCGUGGUGUAGCGGUGAAAUGCAUAGAUAUCACGAAGAACGCCGAUUGCGAAGGCAGCUUACUAAACCGCCACUGACGUUGAUGCACGAAAGCGUGGGUAUCAAACAGGAUUAGAUACCCGGGUAGUC